rnacentral:misc_RNA from 1 species
AGCAGACCCGGGACGCAGUGC